rnacentral:rRNA from 1 species
GGGAGAAACGCGGCGGCAGCUUACACCAUGCAGUUGAACGGGUUUACGUUUAUUACACUUCAACAAGUAGCGGACGGGUGAGUAACGCGUAAGAACCUACCUUUAGGUAAGGAAUAACUAUUGGAAACGAUAGAUAAUACCUUAUAAGCUUAUAGUAAAAGAUAAAAUCGCCUAAGGAUGGGCUUGCGUCUGAUUAGCUUGUUGGUGAUUUAAAAGAUUCACCAAGGCAACGAUCAGUAGUUGGUCUAAGAGGAUGAUCAACCACACUGGGACUGAGACACGGCCCAGACCUCUACGGAGGGCAGCAGUGAGGAAUUUUCCGCAAUGGGCGAAAGCCUGACGGAGCAAUGCCGCGUGGAGGAUGAAAGCUUGUGAGUCGUAAACUCCUUUUCUUAGUGAAGAAAUAAGACGGUAUCUAAGGAAUAAGCAUCGGCUAACUCCGUGCCAGCAGCCGCGGUGAUACGGAGGAUGCAAGCGUUAUUCGGAAUUAUUGGGCGUAAAGCGUCUGUAGGUGGUAUAUCAAGUCUACUGUUAAAUAUUAAGGCUUAACCUUAAAAAAGCGGUUUGAAACUAAAAAACUUGAGUUUAGUCAGAGGUAGAGGGAAUACUCGGAUGUAGUGGUGAAAUGCGUAGAGAUCGAGAAGAACACCGGUAGCGAAAGCGCUCUACUGGGCUAAAACUGAACAUGAGAGACGAAGCUAGGGGAGCAAUAGGAUAGAUUCCUAGUUAUCUAGCUGUAACGAGGAUAAAAGUGUGGGGUAUAAAAGUCAAUGAUGAAAUAAGCAUUAGUAUUCAGCUGGGAGUAUGUCACAGAAUGGAAAUCAAU